UACGGAGGGGCUAGCGUUGUUCGGAAUUACUGGGCGUAAAGCGCACGUAGGCGGCUUUGCAAGUUAGAGGUGAAAGCCCGGGGCUCAACUCCGGAAUUGCCUUUAAAACUGCAUCGCUAGAAUUGUGGAGAGGUAAGUGGAAUUCCGAGUGUAGAGGUGAAAUGCGUAGAGAUCCGGAAGAACACCGGUGGCGAAGGCGGCAC
rnacentral:rRNA from 1 species